ensembl:lncRNA
AUGAAGGCGGGACCCAGCCUGACCCGAGGGCUGCCCCGCUGGGGUAAAUCCCGCCUACUCACCUUACUGGCCUCUACCGAGGAGGAGGAGGAGGAGGAGGAAGAGCAGGUCCCUGCCGGUGCCGAGGACGAGAAUCAGGUGUUUGUGCCGAUGGGGCUGCGCACUGUGGCACCUGUGAGCACAGAGGUGGAGGAAACCAUGGAAGAGCUGGACAUCUCUGUGAACGUUCCUGAAGUCCUGGGAAUAUCCCACAAUGGCGUGUGUCCUGAGUCUUUGUGCAAGAACGCUCUGUCCCCUACUGGGUCUGUUCCCUGCGAGCACCAGCUUGACCUGCUUGUAGAUGUGAUCGAGUUCCUGACUCCGGACCACAUGGAAGUGUCUGAAGAGAGUUAUGCUGAGGCAGCUAGGACCCUGCUGACCAUCGGCCACGCAGCUCACGUGACCCCCACAGCAGAGGCAGUCAUGGGCCAUGCAGCUCACGUGACCCCCACAGCAGAGGCAGUCAUGGGCCGCGCAGCUCACGUGACCCCCACAGCAGAGGCACUCAGCACAGGUGAUGUUAUCUUUGUUGAAGAUCCAAGGCUUUCACAACAGGUAGUCCAGCAAGAAGUUGUUUUAGAAACAACUGACCACUCAGAGCCCAGACCUGAAACCAGCCGUGAGGACACCUUUGACCCUUGUGUCAGUAUCGUCUUAGACUGCAGUGGUGGUGCUGACCCAGUUGGUAAUGUCUGUGAGGGUACUGCUAGUACUCCAGAACCAACUUCCCAGCAAGACUCCAACUUCAUGGAAGAGCCAGUGGUUUCACAGGAAACCGAUGACCUGCUUGGCGACAGCCAAUCAGGGGCCUCCAACACCACCGUCCUACAGAGGGUCCACCUCCUUAGACCCAAACCCAACCUGUCGACAAUCCCCAGACGCACACAGGUCCAGCAGGAGGAGACGCCACCAGACCCUGGCCCUGCUGCCCAGAACCUCCUCACGGUGGCGCCAUCUCAGGGUGCUACAGAAGCCCGAAUGGUGAAAACCUCACGAGACCCUGGUGAGGCAGGUUCCACACCAACCCUGACUGGACCAGCUGGAGCUUGGGAGCGGGUGAGCGCUCCUGACCGGACAGCCCGUGUGAAAGGAGAAGGGGACAGACCCGGGCUGCCCCCCGACACACCACCAGAGGGUGGAGCCUCCGCUGGUGUGGUGGAGGUGGAGCAGCAGAGCGUGGAGGUGGAGAAGACCAUGGAGGUGGAGAAGAAUCAGCAGCCCCAACAACCACACGGCGUACAUGAACCGCAGACAGGAUCUCAUGGUUCUGAGAGUUCGGUCCAGCCCUCUCAGGCUCUGCGAAGGUUCCGUGGCCCAAAACCGAAACCCAACGUGGUCGGGUUCUCCAGAAACAGAACCCCUCGAACACAGACCCAUCAGAGCCCAGCAGUACCCACUGAGGCACAGGCUGCUGUGAUAUCCACAAACACUUUCACUGAUGCCCAGAGUACAGGAGGGGGCGGUCAUGUCACCCUAGAACCUGACAUGUCCCUAAACGCAAAGAGAGAGAGCGAGCUACCCUUGGACUCAGUAAUGGUGAGAAGGCCGAAUCUCCAUGUGCAGGUAGAAUGACUUCACAGAGCAGAACCUGAG